rnacentral:rRNA from 1 species
UACGUAGGGACCAAGCGUUGUUCGGAUUUACUGGGCGUAAAGGGCGCGUAGGCGGCGUGUCAAGUCAAUUUGUGAAAUCUCCGAGCUUAACUCGGAACGGUCAAUUGAUACUGAUGUGCUAGAGUGCAGAAGGGGCAAUCGGAAUUCUUGGUGUAGCGGUGAAAUGCGUAGAUAUCAAGAGGAACACCUGAGGUGAAGACGGGUUGCUGGGCUGACACUGACGCUGAGGCGCGAAAGCUAGGGUAGCAAACGGG